CCCUCUAUUUCUCUCCCUCCCCACUCUCUUUGUCUUUCUCUCUCUAAUCUCUCUCGUAGAGGAUUGUGAAGCCCUAGAGGUCUCAGCGGCCUCAACGGGCCACUAUUGGCUUUUCCAUUUCCUUCCCUCCCAUCCUCUUUCUCUCUUCCUCUCUUUCCUUUUCUUUCACUCCGUUUUCAAUGACGUUGUGAAAUGAACA
rnacentral:lncRNA from 1 species